GGGCAGUCAAAUGCGCCCUGGAACUGUUUCAUGCGCCUUCAUGGAGUAGCAUAGACUUAGAUAAACGGGCUGCAACAGAAUCGUGGAGCCCAGAAUAUGAGGAGGAGCCAGUCUAUCCAUUACACGAAUGCUGACAUUUUCAAAGAUCUUUAUCAAGAGCUGUGCUGGGCAGCAGAGAAAUACAGAAUAAGACCAGGGGCCCAUCAGCAAGGAACUUACAAAUCACAGGGAGGAAAAUAAUUCCUGCAUAAGGUGGUAAACACAGAGCUGGACUCCUGCAAAGAGAACGUGAAGAACAAGUAGCAGCAUUGCUUCUUACUGGUUCAUUUAAAUGUGGAAACUAAACAAACAAACAAAACCAAGAAAACCCACUGAACUCCUAGACACAGAGAAGAGAUUGGUGGUUACCAGAGGCAAGGGUGAAGAUAGUGAAAAGGUACAAACUUCCAGUUGUAAAAGAAAUAAAAUAAAUAAGAAUAAAGUAAAUAAGUCCUGCAGGGUAAAAAACAAAACCAAAAAAUCCAGUAGUUCACUGUACAUUCCUAGGAUGCAUACAUCUCCAAGAACAUGAAGAAUUGUAAGGAACCUCUAAACUAUUAUGAGAACUCACAUAGUCAGUAACAAAACUGGACAUUUUGGGGCUUCCCUGGUGGCGCAGUGGUUGAGUCCACCUGCCGAUGCAGGGGAUGCGGG